rnacentral:lncRNA from 1 species
UUAGGAUUCUAGUUUGCUCAUGGAUGUCACCAGUUAGCCUAUUUGAAUUUUUAAAUUUUGGAUGCUAGCCCUUGUCUCCUGUUAAAAUUUUUGGGUGUUAGUGAUAAGGGAUUUAACUAUUUCCUCAAGAGAAAUACCUUACUUUGGAGGUGACAAUUGUUGCUGCUAGGAUAACCUUGGCUGAUAUUGUUUAAAGUUUUAUUGUACGUGUUGGAGAAUGGGUUGUAUCUCCUCUGUGACUGAUUUAGGAAUCCUCCUACUGCGUUGAUGCGUUAUUGGUCAUCCUCUUGGAGCAUAGGAUGCAUAUCUGUGGGAUGCCCUACAUGUGUAAAUAUUCCACAAACUCUUGCUCGUGAGGUGUUUCCUGCAACCAUGUUCUAAGCUAAAUGGGUUACCUGGGAAAUCUAAGACCUGAGGGAAGAGAUAUUUACCUCAUUUACCAUCCUCAGGGUGUCAUGUGU